AAAAUGGCAACCAUAUCAGUCUUCAAUGCUUUUUUAAUUAGCUAUGUUUGUUUCAGUUCAAGAAUGUUUUUUGAAAUAUUUGCAAUGGAAUCAUAUACAAGGUUUUGCAGGUAAAUCCAGAAAUAAUUAAUGCAGGAAUUUUUGCUAUUUUUGGUUGGGCGGUAAUUUGGCUAUACUUGCACGUGACAUGGUAGUGACCUUGGUAGACUAGGCAUUCACAAAAUGGCCGCUGUGUCAUCAGCAUGUGCAGAGCAUGAUCGGAGAGUGGCUAUACUCGAUUCUCUUCGUGCCGGAAAGUUGUCGCGGGAAAUAAUCAAGUGGUUUGGUUACAAGAUGCAUGUUUAUGACCUAGCGAAGAGGUUCAAGAAGUCUGAGACGGAGGAAGUCACUCCUGACCGGGUGAAACAUCAAAAGUGGUCUGACUGUAAAGGCAGUUUAGUCGCUACUUUUAUUUUAGAACUCAACUCGCUGAUUUUAAUGCAUAGCAAAUCACUGUCACUGGCUAUGUGAAACCAACUUAAGAGGAAUGACAAAUUUGUCACCAAUGGAAGCCAGCGAUUUGCGAGAAGAAACAUGCGAUUAUCGUAGUUAUUUUGCCGCAGACACUAUCACGA
rnacentral:lncRNA from 1 species